AAAAAGGUCACUUAAAUGUCCUCGCAUGCAUUUAAGUCAAUUCCCAUUGGUUUUCAAAAUUCUUAUCAUUAAAUUAUAAAAGCUCUAUCUGUGAAGAACCACCUGCAAGUAACCCAUCCCACCGCCAUCUUCUCCGGCGUCGUUCCCGCAGCCUAACACCAUCACCCCUGCUAUCACUUUCAACUCGUCGCCUUUUCUUCUUUUCUGUGGACUAAUUCAAAAUCCACCACCACCACCACCAUUCGUUUUAACUCCACAACAACCAUCAGUCCAUCACCGUUACCUUUCUUCUCCACAGAUCUGUGGUGGCGGUGGUUUCAGGUGGUCGCGAACCAUUUACAGGGGGCGGUGGUCUUAGGAGUUCGGGAACCAUUUACAGAGAGACACUUAGAUCCACCGGAGACGAAUGGCCGGAAAGUAGUUUCAGAAGGUCUGGAACCAUUCCUAGGGGCGGUGACUGCCGGAAAGUGAAUUUUGAAAGUGACGAAUGGCCGAAAAGUCGAUUCAAGUAUUUGGGUUUUGAAUUUCUUCUGCAUUUAUGGAAGCUGGAGAGGCUCCGUUGAUGCUGAGUAUAUGAAACUUCAUAUUGGGUGGUAGUGGCGGAUCUAGGAUUCCGACCAAGCGGGAACGUUUUAUAAAUAGGCGGUAACGAAAUCGAAAAAACGUCAAAUUUUUCCAAAAUUUACACUAAAAACGUCAAAAAUUUUCCGACCAAGCGGUAGCGGAGGCUACCCCUUGAUACAAGGUGCGUCCGCCCCUGCAGGGUGGUCAAGGAUAUGAGUCAGAUUUGCUGGUCGAAACUAAAUUCAUGCAUACGGACCAUAUGGUUGAUCUCAAGAAAGGAAGAUUGAGGUAUGCUUCACUGGGAUAAAGAUAAUGGAAGUGUGAUCUUCACGCCACCGAUGAAUAUCAUCGCAUUGUUAUCGUUGGUCGGUGGCGGUGUCUGCCGGAAAGUGAGGGUGUUAAGCAGGGCUGAAGUCAUGAAGAUGACAGCAUUCUGUUGAUAUAAAGAAAGUAUUAAAAUGAUAACUGAAAUGUCAUUUAUACCGUCACAUGCAUUGCAUGUGAAGGAAGUUAACUAAGAAAAUAAACGUGGUUAGUGUUAAAGGUUG